GACGAACGCUGGCGGCGUGCUUAACACAUGCAAGUCGAACGGUAAGGCCCUUCGGGGUACACGAGUGGCGAACGGGUGAGUAACACGUGGGUGAUCUGCCCUGCACUUCGGGAUAAGCCUGGGAAACUGGGUCUAAUACCGGAUAGGACCACUGCCUGCAUGGGUGGUGGGGGAAAGCUUUUGCGGGGUGGGAUGGGCCCGCGGCCUAUCAGCUUGUUGGUGGGGUGAUGGCCUACCAAGGCGACGACGGGUAGCCGGCCUGAGAGGGUGGCCGGCCACACUGGGACUGAGAUACGGCCCAGACUCCUACGGGAGGCAGCAGUGGGGAAUAUUGCACAAUGGGCGCAAGCCUGAUGCAGCGACGCCGCGUGAGGGAUGACGGCCUUCGGGUUGUAAACCUCUUUCAGCACCGACGAAGCGCAAGUGACGGUAGGUGCAGAAGAAGGACCGGCCAACUACGUGCCAGCAGCCGCGGUAA
rnacentral:rRNA from 1 species